rnacentral:rRNA from 1 species
GUUGUAUAGUUAAGUGAGAAAGCGUACAGGGCGGAUGCCUUGGCAAUCAGAGGCGAAGAAGGACGUGCUAAUCUGCGAAAAGCGUGGGUGAGUUGAUAAGAAGCGUUUAACCCACGAUGUCCGAAUGGGGAAACCCGAUAGGCGAAGAGCCUAUCAUUGCGAGGUGAAUAAAAUAGCCUCGUAAGGCGAACCGGGAGAACUGAAACAUCUAAGUACCCCGAGGAAAAGAAAUCAACCGAGAUUCUGUGAGUAGCGGCGAGCGAAAGCGGAGGAGCCAGUAAGUAAUAGCAGCAGAGAUAGAGGAAUUGUCUGGGAAGGCAAGCGACACAGGGUGAUAGCCCCGUACUUAAAAUCCAGGCUGUGGUACUAAGCUUACGAGAAGUAGGGCGGGACACGAGGAAUCCUGUCUGAAGAUGGGGGGACCAUCCUCCAAGGCUAAAUACUCCUGAUUGACCGAUAGUGAACCAGUACUGUGAAGGAAAGGCGAAAAGAACCCCGGUGAGGGGAGUGAAAUAGAACCUGAAACCCUGUACGUACAAGCAGUGGGAGCCCGCAAGGGUGACUGCGUACCUUUUGUAUAAUGGGUCAGCGACUUAUAUUUUGUAGCGAGGUUAACU